GGGGUAUUAGCUCAGUUGGCUAGAGCGUCUCGCUGGCAGCGAGAAGGUCAUGAGUUCGAGUCUCAUAUACUCCACCA
rnacentral:tRNA from 1 species